rnacentral:rRNA from 1 species
GGCUCAGGAUGAACGCUAGCUACAGGCUUAACACAUGCAAGUCGAGGGGAAACGAUAUUGGAAGCUUACUUCUGAUAGGCGUCGACCGGCGCACGGGUGAGUAACGCGUAUCCAACCUGCCCAUCACUUGGGGAUAACCUUGCGAAAGUAAGACUAAUACCCAAUGACGUCUCUAGAAGACAUCUGAAAGAGAUUAAAGAUUUAUCGGUGAUGGAUGGGGAUGCGUCUGAUUAGCUUGUUGGCGGGGUAACGGCCCACCAAGGCGACGAUCAGUAGGGGUUCUGAGAGGAAGGUCCCCCACAUUGGAACUGAGACACGGUCCAAACUCCUACGGGAGGCAGCAGUGAGGAAUAUUGGUCAAUGGACGAGAGUCUGAACCAGCCAAGUAGCGUGCAGGAUGACGGCCCUAUGGGUUGUAAACUGCUUUUAUAAGGGAAUAAAGUGGGAGUCGUGACUCUUUUUGCAUGUACCUUAUGAAUAAGGACCGGCUAAUUCCGUG